GUUUCAUUUAUAUUUAAAAUAGAAUUUUAUUUUUUAGUAAAAAAGCUAAAAUUUGAUUAAAAGACGAGAAGACCCUAUAAAUCUUUAUAAUUUUUUGUAAAAUAAUUUCUUUAGAUAAAUUUUGUUAUUGUAUAAAAAUUUAUUUUAUUGGGGUGAUAUUAAAAUUUAAAAAACUUUUAAUUGUAGUUUUACAUUAAUUUAUGAAUAAUUGAUCCAUUUUUAUUGAUUAACAAAUUAAGUUACUUUAGGGAUAACAGCGUAAUUUUUUUGGAGAGUUCUUAUUGAUAAAAAAGUUUGCGACCUCGAUGUUGGAUUAAGAUAUAUUUUUAAUGCAGAAGUUAAAAUAUAAAGUCUGUUCGACUUUUAAAUUCUUACAUGAUCUGAGUUCAAACCGGUGUGAGCCAGGUUGGUUUCUAUCUUUAAUAAAAUUUAAUAUUAUAGUACGAAAGGAAUUAAUAUUGUUAAAUAUUAUUUAAAAAUGAAU
rnacentral:rRNA from 1 species